GGAAGCGUGCCCGAAU
rnacentral:tRNA from 1 species